CGUAUAAUGGCGCGGUUUGGUGCUCGCGCGUCCGUCCGGAUGCGCAGUUAAACGGGAAACACGAAGCCCCUGAUCCGGGGCCGGCGUGUGCUGCUCCCGCAACGGUCAACAAGCGUCGCCCAGGGCGACAACCAGUCCGAUUGCCACUGUGCGCUGCAUGGGAAGGUGGACUGGCCGCUUGCCAGCCCGGAUACCGGCCAGACCUGGUGGAAGCAC
rnacentral:ncRNA from 2 species